CUACGUAGGUGGCAAGCGUUGUCCGGAUUUAUUGGGCGUAAAGCGCGCGCAGGCGGACCGUUAAGUCUGAUGUGAAAGCCCACGGCUCAACCGUGGAGGGUCAUUGGAAACUGUGGGACUUGAGUGCAGAAGAGGAGAGUGGAAUUCCAAGUGUAGCGGUGGAAUGCGUAGAGAUUUGGAGGAACACCAGUGGCGAAGGCGACUUUCUGGUCUGUAACUGACGCUGAGGCUCGAAAGCGUGGGGAGCAAACAGGAUUAGAUACCCUGGUAGUCCACGCCGUAAACGAUGAGUGCUAAGUGUUAGGGGGUUUCCGCCCCUUAGUGCUGCAGCUAACGCAUUAAGCACUCCGCCUGGGGAGUACGGUCGCAAGACUGAAACUCAAAGGAAUUGGCGGGG
rnacentral:rRNA from 1 species